rnacentral:rRNA from 1 species
AUUGAACGCUGGCGGCAUGCCUUACACAUGCAAGUCGAGCGGUAACAGGUCUUCGGAUGCUGACGAGUGGCGCACGGGUGAGUAAUACAUCGGAACGUGCCCAGACGUGGGGGAUAACGAGGCGAAAGCUUUGCUAAUACCGCAUACGAUCUAAGGAUGAAAGCAGGGGACCGCAAGGCCUUGUGCGUUUGGAGCGGCCGAUGGCAGAUUAGGUAGUUGGUGGGAUAAAAGCUUACCAAGCCGACGAUCUGUAGCUGGUCUGAGAGGACGACCAGCCACACUGGGACUGAGACACGGCCCAGACUCCUACGGGAGGCAGCAGUGGGGAAUUUUGGACAAUGGGCGAAAGCCUGAUCCAGCAAUGCCGCGUGCAGGAUGAAGGCCUUCGGGUUGUAAACUGCUUUUGUACGGAACGAAAAGGCUCUGGCUAAUACCUGGGGCACAUGACGGUACCGUAAGAAUAAGCACCGGCUAACUACGUG